rnacentral:rRNA from 1 species
AAAUUGAAGAGUUUGAUCAUGGCUCAGAUUGAACGCUGGCGGCAGGCCUAACACAUGCAAGUCGAGCGGAAACGAGUUAACUGAACCUUCGGGGAACGUUAACGGCGUCGAGCGGCGGACGGGUGAGUAAUGCCUAGGAAAUUGCCCUGAUGUGGGGGAUAACCAUUGGAAACGAUGGCUAAUACCGCAUGAUGCCUACGGGCCAAAGAGGGGGACCUUCGGGCCUCUCGCGUCAGGAUAUGCCUAGGUGGGAUUAGCUAGUUGGUGAGGUAAGGGCUCACCAAGGCGACGAUCCCUAGCUGGUCUGAGAGGAUGAUCAGCCACACUGGAACUGAGACACGGUCCAGACUCCUACGGGAGGCAGCAGUGGGGAAUAUUGCACAAUGGGCGCAAGCCUGAUGCAGCCAUGCCGCGUGUGUGAAGAAGGCCUUCGGGUUGUAAAGCACUUUCAGUCGUGAGGAAGGUAGUGUAGUUAAUAGCUGCAUUAUUUGACGUUAGCGACAGAAGAAGCACCGGCUAACUCCGUGCCAGCAGCCGCGGUAAUACGGAGGGUGCGAGCGUUAAUCGGAAUUACUGGGCGUAAAGCGCAUGCAGGUGGUUUGUUAAGUCAGAUGUGAAAGCCCGGGGCUCAACCUCGGAAUAGCAUUUGAAACUGGCAGACUAGAGUACUGUAGAGGGGGGUAGAAUUUCAGGUGUAGCGGUGAAAUGCGUAGAGAUCUGAAGGAAUACCGGUGGCGAAGGCGGCCCCCUGGACAGAUACUGACACUCAGAUGCGAAAGCGUGGGGAGCAAACAGGAUUAGAUACCCUGGUAGUCCACGCCGUAAACGAUGUCUACUUGGAGGUUGUGGCCUUGAGCCGUGGCUUUCGGAGCUAACGCGUUAAGUAGACCGCCUGGGGAGUACGGUCGCAAGAUUAAAACUCAAAUGAAUUGACGGGGGCCCGCACAAGCGGUGGAGCAUGUGGUUUAAUUCGAUGCAACGCGAAGAACCUUACCUACUCUUGACAUCCAGAGAAUUUUCCAGAGAUGGAUUAGUGCCUUCGGGAACUCUGAGACAGGUGCUGCAUGGCUGUCGUCAGCUCGUGUUGUGAAAUGUUGGGUUAAGUCCCGCAACGAGCGCAACCCUUAUCCUUGUUUGCCAGCGAGUAAUGUCGGGAACUCCAGGGAGACUGCCGGUGAUAAACCGGAGGAAGGUGGGGACGACGUCAAGUCAUCAUGGCCCUUACGAGUAGGGCUACACACGUGCUACAAUGGCGCAUACAGAGGGCGGCCAACUUGCGAAAGUGAGCGAAUCCCAAAAAGUGCGUCGUAGUCCGGAUUGGAGUCUGCAACUCGACUCCAUGAAGUCGGAAUCGCUAGUAAUCGUGGAUCAGAAUGCCACGGUGAAUACGUUCCCGGGCCUUGUACACACCGCCCGUCACACCAUGGGAGUGGGCUGCAAAAGAAGUAGGUAGUUUAACCUUCGGGGGGACGCUUACCACUUUGUGGUUCAUGACUGGGGUGAAGUCGUAACAAGGUAGCGCUAGGGGAACCUGGCGCUGGAUCACCUCCUUAUACGAUGAU